rnacentral:lncRNA from 1 species
UGGCUGUGUAGUUUGUGGUGAAGAAGGGACCCAUGGAAGUAAACCUAGCACAGGAUGAAUGUACACAGUCUGCAGUCCAUCAGUGCCAGUCAAGACAGCACUGGCUUUUACAGCCUACCCCUCGGUUUGCCCCUCUCAGAGAGUGGCUUCCUGCUUACUGCUGCUGAGAGCAGCGCAUGCAGCAGGCCUUGUUCACACACCAGUGCCUGACACCACAUCAGGGCUCCCAAGGCUACUGCAAAUCAGUAAUGUUCUCCCAAUUCAUGUGAAGGAUGAAAGUGAGUCUGAAUGAAGAGACCAUGCAAAGAGGCAGUCUUACGGCUGGUGAUUCCAUCAUGCAUUUUCUCAAAUUUCUUGUAGCAAAAAUGCUUCCUACUGCUGUGCACUUUUCACUGGAAACCACAAUGUCUCUGCUUGGCCUUGUGAGAGGGUCUUAGUCCUGUCACCUGAUAAGGUGAAGAAGAGUCUAAUCCUUGUGGACUUGUAGCAUCAAAUUCCAUCUCUGAUCAUUUUCACAUUUUUCUUGUCUCCAAAUAUAUCCCUAUGGAAGAAAAUCUUGAUGCUAGUACCAGUCAUCUUCAUGUAUGCCAUAUUCUCUUAGUAUUCUGAUUAAUAGAAAUGAGAUGAGUUGGUGCCUUUACCACAAGGAUCUUGAAUACAGCUGGCACAAGGGCAAAUGAAAUCUGCAGGCAUCCUGAUCUAAACACAAAUUCAGGCUUGAAGUCGGGUAAUAUGGUUGAGUAGAGCCAGAUGUUGGACAGUACUGACACAGCAUUUCCUUUUUCUCCAUAUUGGAUGCUAAGACAGUUUGUACUCCUAACUUACCACUUUUGCCAGGAAAUUUGAAUCCAAACUCCACUUUCAGCUAUACAUGCAAAUCAUUGUGGGGUUAUAUGCAUGAAAACAAGAGCAAAACUUAGACCACAGAUUUUCCAGGGAAAAAUAAGUGCUGCAUUUCAGGCAAUUAGGAGCAGUAAAGUAAACAUUUAGUCACCAUUGACUCAUGAGCCGAAAAACACAGUAGUCAAUUACAGCUUUCGGCAGCAAUAAUUAAUAUGGUGUUGAUGAAAACUGUGUUUUUCACUCAACAUACAAAGCUAUUCCAGGUAAUUAAAUGUAACCUCAUCUAUAUGUAAUUUGUCUUUAAUCUGCACAUUAUACAGAUUUUCAACCUCAUAUCCUGUAUUCUGAAGAGGAAAUAACAUAGGUACAUUAGCUAAAGCAUAUACCUAAUAACCCU